GUGCUCACUUCAGCAGCACAUAUACUAAAAUUGGAACAAUACAGAGAUGAUUAGCAUGACCCCUGCGCAAGGAUGACACAAAUUCCAUAUUAAAAAAAAAAAAAAAACUUU